AUUGAACGCUGGCGGCAUGCUUUACACAUGCAAGUCGAGCGGUAACAGGUUAAGCUGACGAGUGGCGAACGGGUGAGUAAUUCAUCGGAACGUGCCCGGUCGUGGGGGAUAACGCAGCGAAAGCUGCGCUAAUACCGCAUACGAUCUAAGGAUGAAAGCGGGGGACCGUAAGGCCUCGCGCGAUCGGAGCGGCCGAUGUCAGAUUAGGUAGUUGGUGGGGGAAAGGCUCACCAAGCCAACGAUCUGUAGCUGGUCUGAGAGGAAGACCAGCCACACUGGGACUGAGACACGGCCCAGACUCCUACGGGAGGCAGCAGUGGGGAAUUUUGGACAAUGGGCGAAAGCCUGAUCCAGCAAUGCCGCGUGCAGGAAGAAGGCCUUCGGGUUGUAAACUGCUUUUGUACGGAGCGAAAAGGUCUCCUCUAAUACAGGGGGCUCAUGACGGUACCGUAAGAAUAAGCACCGGCUAACUACGUGCCAGCAGCCGCAGUAA
rnacentral:rRNA from 1 species